rnacentral:rRNA from 1 species
CCCUUAGACGUUCUGGGCCGCACGCGCGCUACACUGACCAGUGCAACAAGCAUCCGUCCUUGGCCGACAGGCCCGGGCAAUCUUUGAACGCUGGUCGUGAUGGGGAUAGACUUUUGCAAUUUUUGGUCUUCAACGAGGAAUUCCUAGUAAACGCAAGUCAUCAACUUGCAUUAUUACGUCCCUGCCCUUUGUACACACCGCCCGUCGCACCUACCGAUUGAAUGGUCCGGUGAAGCCUCCGGAUUGGCGCGCACCUCGGUGCCGCCGAGAAGUUGGCUAAACCUUACCAUUUAGAGGAAGGUGAAGUCGUAACA